CUCCGUGCUGCGGCCUGCCGUCCGUGUCCGGGCACCUCCUGCCCGCUGUCCCGUCCAGCUCUGCCGCCUCCACCCUUGCGCCGUCGGGCGGCGCGACCGGGAGCCCCGCCGCCGUCACCUCCGCGGGGCAGAGGCGCAGGAGCAGCUCGUCCGCCGCCGCCCGUGGGGCCGCCUGUACCCCGCCGACCGUCUCGCCAACGGCGCGGAGAGUUGGCCGGGAGGCGGGAGCGGACCUGCGGCGGAGCGUCCAGAGCGGGCCCCGCUUCAGGGGUGAAGACGACAGCGACGACUCUGCGGGCCGGAAGCUUGUCUUGGAAACCCAGCUUCUUCAGACCUGAAUUUCCAGUUAUCUCUGCAUCUUGGCACUUGAGAAAAAAAAGCAGACCAGAUCUAAUUUGGGAAGCAGGAACAGUGCACCUUCAAUUUUAAAAUAAAACCAUAAAAAGGGCAACCUCUAAAAUUCCUGGAGCAUGUCUGUGCGGAUGUCGGGACCAUGCCUUCCUCACCUCCCACAUGCAUCUAUCACCUGUAAAGAUGGAUGUCUUUGCUGAGAAUAUGUGAUCUCCAGAAAUGAAGAUGCAUUUCAUUUUGGCGUAGCAAUAUAAUAAAGAAAUCUUGAGAAGGCAUUUAAGAUUUGUUCCAUUGAAGGCAGUUCAUUGAUUUUUUAAGAAAAUAUAUGGUCAUGUCCAGGUGAGUGGCAUCUGAGCGUCUCCUGUGGUAUGCUAGAGUUCAGAACUAACUGUGCAACACUACGUUCAGUGUUGUCUUAUUUUAAGAAAUCGCCACUACCACCCCAACCUCAGCAACCAUCACCCUGAUAGUCGGCAGCUAUCAACGUCGAGGCAAGACCUUCUACCAGCAAAAAGAUUACCACUCGCUAAAAGCUCACAUGAUGGUUAGCAUGUUUUAGGAGUAAGUUGCUUUUAAAUUAAGGUGUGCACACUUUUAUUUUAGACAUAAUGCUAUUGUACAAUUAAAAGACUACAGUAUAAUGUAAACAACUUUUAUAUGUACUGGGAAGCCAAAAACUUGACUUCACUUGCUUUAUUGCAAUAAUUCCUUUCUAGAGAUGGCCUGGAACUGAACCUGCAGCAUCUCCCAGGUCUGCCUAUAGAGACAUGCCUUCUCCCUGGGUUGGGCAAACAUAGGGUGGCAAGGGAGGGAAGUGAGUUUCUGAGCAGCAUGUAUAGAGGUUAACAUAGAAGAGCAGAUUAUAUCAGUGUCUACUGGAGCAUGGUGUGAGGCCCAGGCUAUUAGCACUGCUAUUGGGAGUUUGGGGCCCUCUAAAUAGACGGUUGUUAAUCUCAAGUCAUUUUUUUCCUGCUUCUAUCAUAGAAUUUCUAAAGAAGAAUUCACUCCUACUUAACAUGGAUUGUGAUUUACCACAUCUGCUAAUCAGAAUCUAACCCUUACCUAAGCUUGUAGCAAGAAUAGAAACAACAUACAAAUGAAAAGCCCAGGUCAUGUGCUUAGACACAGGAACAACAGAACUGUCUCAAGGGGUAUUUGAUCCAAAGUACAUCAGAAAAAUAAUGCCCCUGAAGGGCAUAUGCAAAAUUCAAAAUCAUCUGGUUGAAUGGUUGCUUGAAGAAGAUAAAGCUUAAGUUACUUCCUUUCACUAAAUAAUUUGUGGUCAGAAAAUGAUAGCUGCACAAUUUCCAAUAUUUAUUCAGCAAGUAAACAUCAAGUUCUCAUUUGGCACCUGCUCUCUACCAGCCAUUUAGCUAAAGCAUGAGGAAGGAUGUGUAUGUCAUUCAAAGAGCUGGCAAUCCACCUGAAGAGUGAAGACUGACAUAUUUGAAAUAGAAAAUGACAAAGACAGGAAUAAUCAAGCGUGUUAUGGCUGUCAACGUUUAGGGUGUUUAGGAAUAAUCUGGGUUUCUCAGGCCCAACACUAGCUAUUCCAAUUCAGUAAGUCUUUGGUGAAACCUAAGAAACCACAAACAGGUUGUCCAAUGUCUUACACUUUGAAAAAGACUAGCAGAAAAAUUUAGUGGAAAGACUUGUUGAGCUUAUAUCAGUUGGUAAACUUUUCUUGAAAAGAAUGUGACUUAAGAUGGUCAUACUAUAACAUGAUCAGUUUGAUUUUAGAUUUAGGUUUGCAUUAUAUAAAAUUCUGCUUAAAAAAGUUAAAUAAGUAGCAGUCAUGAAUAUCUUUCUUUAUAGACACACCCUGCCAGAAAAUUGUAGUAUGUAAGAAUCUCUCCACUUUAUAAAGUUAAUCCUAUCAUAGCAGGUGAUAUGAUAUGUGUGUAAAAGAUUGCCUCUGACCCACAGUGACCAUGAUGAUAUUUUAAAACCGUAAUUUUGCACAGUGAUAUCAACAAGGUUGAGUGCUAAAAUUAAUUAUAUAUUUUUAACAUGUAAAUAAUAAACUAGAAAAAUAAGGUCAAUGAGACAUGGAAUUGUAACUCAAGAAAAUAAAUUAAAAUGUGUUUAUGUCUGAGCCACAAGUUUCCAGGCUAACCUCUCAUAUGCCCU